CCUACGGGAGGCAGCAGUCGGGAAUAUUGGACAAUGGGCGCAAGCCUGAUCCAGCAAUACCGCGUGUGUGAAGAAGGCCUGCGGGUUGUAAAGCACUUUCAGUGGGGAAGAUAAUGACGUUACCCACAGAAGAAGCACCGGCUAACUCCGUGCCAGCAGCCGCGGUAAU
rnacentral:rRNA from 1 species